rnacentral:rRNA from 1 species
UACAGAGGUCCCAAGCGUUGUUCGGAAUUACUGGGCGUAAAGCGCACGUAGGCGGCUUUGUAAGUUAGAGGUGAAAGCCCAGGGCUCAACCCUGGAAUUGCCUUUAAGACUGCAUCGCUUGAACAUCGGAGAGGUAAGUGGAAUUCCGAGUGUAGAGGUGAAAUUCGUAGAUAUUCGGAAGAACACCAGUGGCGAAGGCGACUUACUGGACGAUUGUUGACGCUGAGGUGCGAAAGCGUGGGGAGCAAACAGG